rnacentral:rRNA from 1 species
GACGAACGCUGGCGGCGUGCUUAACACAUGCAAGUCGAACGGAAAGGCCCUGCUUUUGUGGGGUGCUCGAGUGGCGAACGGGUGAGUAACACGUGAGUAACCUGCCCUUGACUUUGGGAUAACUUCAGGAAACUGGGGCUAAUACCGGAUAGGAGCUCCUGCUGCAUGGUGGGGGUUGGAAAGUUUCGGCGGUUGGGGAUGGACUCGCGGCUUAUCAGCUUGUUGGUGGGGUAGUGGCUUACCAAGGCUUUGACGGGUAGCCGGCCUGAGAGGGUGACCGGCCACAUUGGGACUGAGAUACGGCCCAGACUCUUACGGGAGGCAGCAGUGGGGAAUAUUGCACAAUGGGCGGAAGCCUGAUGCAGCAACGCCGCGUGCGGGAUGACGGCCUUCGGGUUGUAAACCGCUUUUGCCUGAGACGAAGCGUGAGUGACGGUAAUGGGUAAAGAAGCACCGGCUAACUACGUG